ACUGCCCCCAGAGGCAUUGCCGGUGUGGCUGCUGUGUCACAUGUGUGUCAGUAAGUGGCAGAGAGGAGAGAAGCUAUGUUAAGCCCAACUUUCCCUGGGAAAAUAUAGCCUGAAAUG
ensembl:snoRNA LOC120093463 small nucleolar RNA SNORA17